rnacentral:tRNA from 1 species
GUCCAGGGUAGCCUAGUGGACAUGGCAUCUGCCCGGUAAGCGGAAGGUCGUGGGUUCGUUUCCCAUCCUGGACA